UUUUGGAAGGAUUACUGGGUGUUUCCGUUGUGAGGACAAGUUUGUGUACUUUAGUAUUCCUAAUACCCGCAGAAAACGCUCUGAAUCAGUGAACGGAGUUAGUUUUCUAAAGUUAGUUCGGUGAGGUAGCCCUCGUCGCAAUAAUUUUAUUUUAGUGGCGAAAACUGAACCUUGGACAAUUUUGAUUAACGAGUACAAAGCGUUACUACAUCCCCACGCAAGCAUAUCAAAAGACCGGGAUUGAAAGGCCCGUGAAACACAAUGAAAAUAAGCGUGAAAUUGUGACACUGACAUUAUAACAUGUAAUAAUAUAUGAAAUGGUAUUAUGGGAAGUGUAUGAUACUUAGUUUUUUUAUUAUUAUAUUAAACAUUACACACCCUUAUUAGCCUCAAUCGGAUUAAUAUAAUAUAAAUUACCGCACAGGUGCGAUAAAAUAGCGACAAUCUUCAGAUCGACCUAGCCCGAAACUAAGCAAAGCUUGUACUAUGGGUACUAGGCGGCGAUAUAAUAUAAUAAUAUAAUAAAGCCAUUUAUUCCGAAUUAUAUACAUUUCAUGAGUUUUUUUUUGUAUAUCCCACAGUUCGGUAUGCCGUAAGGCAUAGGCCUCCUCCAACUGUCUCCAUUGGGUUCUGUCUGCAGCAACCCUCAUCCAGUAUGGCCCCAGAGUCGGACGAAUGUCAUCUUUCCAUCUUGUAAUUGGAUGUGCAUGCUUUCUAGUACAGCCACUAGGGUACCAUAGAGUAACCUGUUUGCUCCAUUUUUCUAUUGGGAAGCGUAGCAUGUGGACUGUCCAUCCCCACUUUCGAUGGUCAAUGCGAGCAAGUAUGUCCUAAAUCUUUGUUUUCUUUCUUAACUCUGAGUUUCUGAUCUCAUCCGAUAGUUUAAUCCCUAACAUACUACGCUCCAUUACCCUUUGACACCUUGCAAGCGUCUCGCGAUGGUUUUCGGUAGGAGACCAGGUCCCACAGCCAUAUACAUACGUAUAUAGAUAAAUACAUACUUAUAUACAUAGAAGACACCCAUGACUCAUAAACAAAUAUCUGUGUUCAUAACACAAAUAAAUGCCCUUACCGGGAUUCGAACCCGGGACCAUCGGCUUCAUAGGCAGGGUCACUACCCACGGUCAGACCGGUCGUCGAAUAAAAAAGCACGCGUAUUUAAUAUCUAGGGUUAUGAGCCUAAACGCGGUUCAAUAAGUUUCACGUUACGAGCAAGUUUAUUAAAAUAGUACAUUGCGAUACAAGUGCGAAAAAUAGGAAAUUCGCAACGAGUAGCGAUAAAUUAAAACACGACCGAAGGGAAUGUUUUAAAUCCUAAUCUACCACGCUGUCCAAAGCGAGCAUGCAGCAGCGCGAGCGACGUAUUGUCCAGAUCUGGACGGGCUUUAAAAUUAAAAAUGCUGCUGAUGCAAAUUGCAGCCCAAAAUACGAGACAUCGAUAAAGAUAAAGAUAGUUUAUUAUUUAAGUAGACAUAUUACAAUGCGCUUGUGAACGUCAAAUAAAGCUACAUCAGUCUCAUUUUCCUUAAUAAAUUGCUGCUGGUGCUGUAGUUUCCAAAUUAGUGUGGCUAUUAAAGGAAUACGAGAGCAGAGAUUUAAAUAUUUUAGGUGAAUAUAUCCGUCUCACUAACGGGAGCGAUUCCUUAAACUAGUGCGAUAAGGACAAGGCGACGUUAGGCGAAAAAUCCUGCGUAAAAGUCUCAAAUAAUGAUGUUUCGUACUCGACUUUCUCCUCCUCCAAAACUUAACCAAAUGUAACGAAAAUUUGAGGUCUAAAUGGUAAUGAAAUUAUCUGUGUCGGACUGUUUUGCUUUUUAGGCUAAUUAAUGUCAGUUUUGAAUACCAUGCUUCUCUUUGCGACCUAGUAAAUUAGGCCGUUUUUGCGAAAAUUUGAAGUGCACUAGCGCCUUAAGGAACAAAAAUAUCAAAAAAAGUAAAACAGUCCGACACAGGUAUAAAUAAUAUGUGUUGAAAAAAUCAUUGCUCUAUCUUCAAUAACCACGGAGGAAAGAGUCGAGUACGUUUAUAUGGAGAAAUGACCACUCCUGUUGCCUCUUAAGACGUUUACGUUUAGUUCCGUCCCAUAUUUUUACAUCGAACAAAUUAUCAGCGACAUCUCCCGUAUCCUACAGCUACAGUACGUAGGAACAAGAGUUGCGAUGUGUUAAGUCGAAUCGAUUAAACUAUACCUCAACAUAUUAUACGCAUUUAUCAAAACUGUAACUAAUGCUAAUAAUUUCGUGUUGUUUUAUCUGCAUAAAUGUCCUUGUAUAUAAAUUACGCUGGUCACGCGUAUUACUAUAAGAAGGUAGAAUAUUUUUUUGUGAGCCACUCUAAGAGUACUCAAGAUCAUGAAAACAAUAGCGCUGUUGUUAGGAGUGUUGGUGGCCUUUCUAGGACUGGCGGCGGCCGGCUCCAUUCCACCCCUAUAUCACCUUCGAACAUCUCAACUAUGCGGAUGUCCACCAGAUAAAGAAUUUUGCUCCGGCUUCGACCAUAAGACUUAUCACAGCAUGUGCGAGUUCGAGUGCGUAAACCCUGGAGUAGUGGGUUGGAAAAUACUCUACUUCGGACCGUGCAAGUCACGCUUGCGCGGUUGAAAUUAUCGAAACACUAACGUAACGCAAGGAAUUUGGUAGAAGAAACGCAAAAAUUUAAAUAAAAUUACAAAACGUACUAAUAA